UCCGGCUGAGAUACAUCCAAGGAUUGGAAUGCAAGUUUACUGUCAACAGGAAAAGAUGUGUUACCAACAGAAUUUGCUUUGGCUGCAGGUUGGGCUUGCCCAGGAACACUGGGUUGCGCAUUAGGAAUUGAUCCAUUGAUAGGACGUACAUUGGAUGAUACAGAAGGAGCUUGAGGAAACUGGGAAGCCUGUUGUUGCUGCUGUGACUGUGGCUGUGGCUGCUGCUGUUGAUUAAUAGAUGCAGUACGGAGCGAGGAGAUAUGGGCAAGAGCAUUUUGAAUACUCAUAUUAUUGUUAUUUACUUCAUGGUGAAGUCUUAACAGUUGAGCUUUCACAAAGGCAAAAUAGCGACUGGUUUUCUCCUUAAUCUUGGCCAAUGUUUGCGGAGCACAAGUAAAAACACCUUGCUGAAGACCUUCAAGUUGUAAUUUAAAUAUAUGACGCAUUUGUAUCAAUUGAAUCGUGGCUUCCUCAUUGCCUGUCAAACAGUAAAACAGGCAAAUCAGUUGAUUUGUACGGCUAAACAUAGGAUAUGCAGAUUUGAUAAGACUCGCAAUCAUAACCUUUUGAUCAUGAGGCAAAUCAAGAGGCACUGGCCGCAUCAAACUAUGCAUUACUCUUUCGGUGAGUUCUCGAAUACGCGAAGUCAUCUUUUGUUGUCCCAUAGUUCCUCCACACUCAAGCAGUUGCUGAACGAUAGAAGCACUACUAUUUCCAGCCGCUAAGUUUGUAGGCCUUGAAGCAGCGGUGUUUCUUGCACCACUAAGAGGAACUGAAAGUGCUUCAUUCCCCGCCUUCGUAAAAGCUGAAGGAGGACUUGCAGAACUUCUAAAUGUAGACGAUGUAUCAAGAUUAGGAGGUAGAUUAUUUGAAUAGUCGACCUGAGAUACAGGCGGCUGAGUGGGUUGAGUAGCGUUGCGAGCCUUAUUUGUCAAAUAGCUUUGAUAAUUAGUUUUGGCGGCAUUAGCUGAAAGCUUUGUAUUGAUCGGUUGUUGGCCAUUUUGUGAAGUAACAGAAGCACUUGUAGGAUUAGAAGUACGGUGCAACUGCUGUUGUUGUUGUUGCUGUUGCUGAGCAAAUGCUUGCUGCGAGAACGCUUGGGGGUUGCC